CCCCCCCCGGUGAAAAAUGUCUAGGAGAAACACUGCCCUAAGUAGCGAUCAUCACAUGAAAUAGGGCAAGCGACUGCACUUCAAUUUUAAUUGCAUUCCUCGGCACAGCGCUCGUCGUAUGAAAUUUAAAAGUCGUCCCCGGAAACACAGAAACGAACUGAGCACUAGCAAAAAAAAGUUAACUGCGCAUGAGCUAACGAAAUGUAACGCUUUAAAAGAAAAGGUUACGUUCUGUUUCUUAUCUAUUUGUAAAUCUGUGUGCAGGGGUUAUAUUCUUCUUUCAAUCCUGGAGAUUCCUGCUUCGCUAUGUUGUUGAUGGGAGUUCCAAGUCAGGUGACCUGCCCCGAGAACUACAUCUGUCAUCCAACCACACAUACCUGUACACUUGUGUCGUAAAGCAAAGUGGCCAUUCCAAAUUGAAAAUACUUUGGAUGUUAUUUAUCCUGUGAAAAUAUAGAAUUGGUUCUCGUUAAACAGAAGCACAGAGGUUUAAAAAUAAACUCAUCUUUUUAAA